rnacentral:lncRNA from 1 species
UCUUUUUAUAAUUUUUGCUCUUACAGUACAGCUUCAGUAUACCAUUUGGCUCAUCAUAUCUCUUUUAUUUUUGGUAAUUAUGUGGAAUAAGAGCAUAAAAAGCUGCCUUUUCAAAAAUAUAAUUUACACGUUAAUACAUGCUCCCUAAUAUAAUAACAUUUUUAUAUAUUUUAAAAUUUAAAAUUAUUGACAAUGUGUAAACUAUUUAAUAGAAAGAGUCUAAAGAAUUUAUCAGUUUUUAAAGAAUUUUUUAUAUGAGAAAUUCGUCUUGUUUUCU